rnacentral:rRNA from 1 species
UGGCGGACGGGUGAGUAAUGUCUGGGAAACUGCCUGAUGGAGGGGGAUAACUACUGGAAACGGUAGCUAAUACCGCAUAAUGUCGCAAGACCAAAGAGGGGGACCUUCGGGCCUCUUGCCAUCGGAUGUGCCCAGAUGGGAUUAGCUUGUUGGUGGGGUAACGGCUCACCAAGGCGACGAUCCCUAGCUGGUCUGAGAGGAUGACCAGCCACACUGGAACUGAGACACGGUCCAGACUCCUACGGGAGGCAGCAU